rnacentral:lncRNA from 1 species
CCAACUCCACCUCUCUUCAAGUCUUCUUCCUCUUCCACCAUGAAAAAUACUCUACCCCCAUUCGUCUUCCUCGCCAAAGUCUUUGCAAUUUUGAAGUAAAAAAUCAAGGUUUUGUGUAUAAGGUUGAAGAAAGUGGCAGAGAUCUAGAAGUUAAAGGUAAAGUUUUUUUGUUUUUUUUUCUUUUAUUGUAGUAUCUUGUCAUUUUUUUUUUUUUCGUUUUUAAGUAUGGGCGGGGAUUUUCACUAGGGUUUUUUGUUGGUUUUAUUUUGUUGUAGAAAGUUUGGUUGGAUUUCAAAAAUUAGGGUUUAUUUGUUGCGUUUUCGUUCACAUUUUCAGUUUGUUUAGAUUCUUGUUUAUUUCAAUUUCUUCCCUAUCCUCAUUUUUCUUAUUCUAUAAAUUGGCAGAAAAGAUAAUUUGGUCGACAAUCUGUUUCAAUUAUUUUAACUUGUAUGAAUUGCCAUAUCUUUAAGUGUGUUCUGUUACUGCUUGAGACAGAAAUUUUAUUUUGAAUUUUUGUUGUCAACUGAUUUGAUUGCACUUGGUUUUGUUGCUACCAAGUUAGUUCUUGUUAUUAAUAGAAAUCACCAUACUAGCCAUCAUUUAAUUGCACUUGGUAUUUUAUUUGAGUCUAUUUGUGAAGAACAACUGUUGUUAGUAGACGUUUCUAUCAUCUUUUCAAGGUGUGUUCCUCCUUCAUGCAUCCCUUCUUAAGAUGAAAAGAGAGGUGUUUGACCCUUAAAAACUACUAUUUCAGACACUUGCUUUACUAGGUUUUCUUAAACUUUGCUUUGACUCUAAAAUCUUCUUCAUUUCAAUGGGUUGUACCGUUUUUUUUUUUAUUUUCCUUGUGCUAUUUGCAAAUGACCAGCCUAUAUAUAUAGGCCAUCCCUUAUACUUUCAGACCAAUUUGUGGUCCAGACUCUUGGUGAUUAGAAAUUUAGAAUCAUAGAUUUUAAUUCAAGUGGCCAACAAGUUGAAUUGUUAGGAGAAAAAAACCCGACCUUGUGGUUUAUAGGCCAUGUUGUUAUGCAUCAGUUGUUCUUGCAACUGGCCAGUAGAAGAAAUACGAUGACAUGAAUACGUGUUAUUCACAUGAACUGAGUCAACUAACAGACCAAAACACUAUGUGUAUAGGAAGAAUGAAUUACAUUGGAUGAGAGGAGUAACAUGAUGGUCAGAAUUAUAUAGACCUCAGAGCAGAGGUACCAUCGUCCAUCAAGGAAUAGGUCUGAUAGGGACUUCAGACCAUGUAAAAAAUUCAAGGUGGCGGAUGGUUGAGGAUGUUUGGUUUGGUUCAUAACUUCAGAUUUUUUCUGAAACUAUAUUUGAAACUUUGAAUUCAUUUGCUCAACUAGGCAUCUUCUGAUAUUAAUUAGUGUUCCUAUUAGUGGUUCACAUUUUGCUCAACUUCUGAAUGCAUGAAUGUCUAUUAUGUGGGCUAUCAAAACUAUAGCAUAACAUGGAUGUCAAAUGUUUUUGGAUGAAAUAAGCUAAUCGAAUAGGUGGCAGGUGAUAGAACAGUAUAGGUGCUCAUGAAUUGUCGAGGGAUUGUUUUUAAUUUUUUUUAUAACAUGGCAAUCAAUAUAUUUGUUGUUUAAUGAAUUAAUUUUGGUUUAGUACAAAACUGUCAACGUGGUGGUUGAAAGUCUUGGAAUGGCUUUGAUAUACCAUAGAUGGUAUAAUUAGGAAAAAAUGAUUUGCAUUUAAUAGAGGUUUGGAAAAUGUUGUCAGGGUGAUGGCAUGUGUGUUUGAAAGGGACUCAAGAGGGGAUUGAGUAGGGAUAUUCCUGGAACUCCUUUGGCUAGAUUCACUUUUGCAGUUCAUGCAAUUAAUGUUAGAGUUUCAAAGAGUUUCAUAUAAUAAGCUCAUUGUAUUUUUGUCAUUUUUUAUUUUUAAAUUGUGUUAAUUAGAAUGUUAUAUCUCAAUCUUGUGUAAUGAAUGGCUAUGGACAUGGGGUUGCUCAAGUAUGGUUUCUAAAAGCAUUCCAUGACUUUUUUUAUUUAUUAUUUGGAAGAAUUAUGGGUUGAGGCAGACCCUAACCUGUAUUAGAAAAAUCUACCAUAAAUAGUUACAAUAUCCUCCCUUACAAUGUUUGACAAAUUAUGAUCAAGGGGAGGAGUAAAACAAAUAAAAUUACACAAGUCCGACUUGUCUAGGGAGGCUAACAGAUCUGCAGCCCUGUUUAUCUCUCUAUAUAUGUGUGCGAAACUUAUACUUCCACACUUCCUUGGAUUAAUAGGGAGGCUAACAGAUCUGCAGCCCUGUUUAUCUCUCUAUAUAUGUGUGCGAAACUUAUACUUCCACACUUCCUUGGAUUAAUCCUGAUAGAAGCUAUAAGCUUUUGGUAGAUAAUAAAAUGCCUACUCCCACUGCCAUGAAAGCAAAAGACAACCUCUCCAUUUGCAUAUCUGACUAUGCCCCCAACUUCCAAAGCUUUAAGCAUUCCAUGACUUUGAGUCAGGGGAAGUUGUAGAUAUUAAUGCAUUGAUUUCCGAUAGGUGGUGUUUGCAAAGUAGUUCCAUUAUAUAAUAUAUAGAAUACUUACUGCCCUCUUCUUGUUAAUACAUUCUACUUGUUCAAUUAUUUUAAAGCUUUCUUUUAUUGAUUCAGGUUGAUAAUUUCCAUGGGGUUGAAUCUAGUACCAAUUUCUCUUGGUAUGUCUAGGCUCCUUAUGUUAUUUAUGUGUUUGCAUGUUGUUCACUAAGAGCUAGAAUAACUGAAAUGGUUUGUGUAUCUGUUUGCAGCUUGCAGUUGUAAUAAGCCAUGCUACACUAGUAUUCGUUUAUACAUUUACUUAAUUUUAUAUUCAAGUGAGUUGUGUGUCUUGUCGAUUAUUCUGUUCUAAAUCUCAUGAACUUUUUUUUUCUUAUGUUUGUCCAGUAACUUCUUUGCGCUAUUGGCUUUAAUUAUCAAGACAUAGACAGUUCUAUGCUUCUAAGGUCGUGUUUUAUGGUUAUAGGUGCUAUAAGGUUAGCUACAGACUCGGAGAGAUGGACCUCAGCAUCUGAUGUUCAACCAUUCAAAGUUUCUACUGCAUACAGAGUAUCAUUCUUAGGUCCUCAAUUGUCUAUUCUCAGGGGCAGUAGCAAGGUGAUUAGUUUAUGGAGCUUUAACUAGUAGAGCAUUCUCUUCCUUUCAGGGGCAGCAUUGACUUUCGAACUCUAUUUAACAUGAACGGUAAAUCUGAUAUCAAUGGAUUUAACUCUAUUUAAUAGCAGUGGUUUAACUUGUUUAGUCUUAUAAGUGGCAUAAAAUCAAUAGUAAUCUUUUUGUCAUUUGGGCAUGCAAUGUUAGAUAAAAUGAGGUCUGAUGAAUUGGUCUUGUUUGCUUCUCUGGCAGGCUUUUAGAAAUGUGUUGGAUAUGUACUUUGGAGUAAAUCUUGAUGUACGUAAAGUGGAAUUGUUAAAGGUGGUUAUCAGUGGUCAGGAGGUAAAGACCAAUAGUAUGUAUUCAACUAUUCACAUUAUGUACUAUGUGCCUUAAUUUCAAAUAAGGUUGUUCUUUAUAUUUGCAAGUUUCUGAAAAAAUAAUCUUGUAUAAAGUUUCAUUUUUAGGGGUCGGUUCGACGCUUUGUAGAGGUUCCACUUCAGGGGUCCUUCAUGGCAACAUUAACUCUUGGCGCGUAAGUCUUUGACUUGAGAUGUAUUUCUUUCUUACUGUUUUUUCUUCUUCUAUAGAAAUAGUGUGUCAAUUAUGAACUUUGAACAAAUUACCUGCAAGAAAAUGGGCCACAUGAUGAUAAGGUGUUCAUAUGCAAUUUAUAUUUCUUGUUAAGAUAUGCUUACACAAUUAGUACAUGAAAUUUGUUCUGCUUUCUUUCUUCUCGUUAUUGCUUACAUGAAUAAGAAUGAUUUUUAAUGAGAGACUACAAUUCAUAUAUUUUGUAGGUAAUUCCAUGAUACUUCAUGAGUGUGGCUGAAUUUGAACAACAAGGCAAUGUAGCUAAGGAAAAAGAUAAGAUUUACUGAUAUGUUGUUCGAGUCGACGGUGGUGACGACAUAACAAUGGUGCAACUGAAGGUAAAUAGUUCUGUCAGACUGCAGACUAUUUUUUCAUGUUACUGGUAGUUCUGAGUUCCUCUGUUUAUAUACUAUUGUCUGUUUUAUGUCACACAAAGAGGGCUUGUCCUCCUGGAUGUUGAUAGUAGAAGAAACCUGACGAUGCAACCCCUGGUUGCGUGCUGAUCAGGAGUUGUAAUACUUUUAUCUUAAUUAUCAAUAAAUUUUAACUUUCAUAAUAUUAUAGAAGAUAUCAUUGUAUUUUUGGA